rnacentral:misc_RNA from 1 species
CCAAAAACUUAGCUGCUCCAGUUCAGGCUGGGUUGCACGCUUCAACCCUUUGUGAACCAAAAAACCUUUACGCUUCGGCAGCUGGUUCCAGCUGUAAGCCUGCCGAUGGCACCCAUUUAAAACCCGUCGUUAAAUAUUUGUCUGAACUAAAUAUUUUCGAAUGAAAAUUA